rnacentral:lncRNA from 1 species
CCGCAACCUGAAUUCCAACUCGAAUCCUGAUCAGAUCUCGAUCUGGAUCUCAAUCCGAAUCAAGAUCUCGACCCAGAUCCCAAUCUCGAUCCAAUUCAGAUCGUGAUCCAGAUUUUAUUUUUAUUAAUCAAAUAAUAAAAUAUUUGAUUAAUAUUUUAUUUUAUUUAUUUAUUUUUAUUUAUUCUUUUUUUUCAUAUUUCUCUCUUCCCUUCCUCCC